rnacentral:rRNA from 1 species
AUUGAACGCUGGCGGCAGGCCUAACACAUGCAAGUCGAACGAGUGGCGGACGGGUGAGUAAUGUCUGGGACACUGCCUGAUGGAGGGGGAUAACUACUGGAAACGGUAGCUCAUACCGCAUACCAUCAGAUGUGCCCAGAUGGGAUUAGCUAGUUGGUGGGGUAACGGCUCACCAAGGCGACGAUCCCUAGCUGGUCUGAUAGGAUGACCGGCUACACUGGAACUGAGAAACGGUCCAGAGUCCUACGGGAGGCAGCAGUGGGGAAUAGGGCACAAUGGGCGCAAGCCGGAUGCAGCCAUGCCGGGUGUAUGAAGAAGGCCUUCGGGUUGUAAAGUACUUGCAGCGGGGAGGCGUUACCCGCAGAAGAAGCACCGGCUAACUCCGUGCCAGCAGGCGCGGUAAUUC